GAUGAACGCUGGCGGCGUGCCUAAUACAUGCAAGUCGAGCGAAUGGAUUAAGCGCUUGCUCUUAUGAAGUUAGCGGCGGACGGGUGAGUAACACGUGGGUAACCUGCCCAUAAGACUGGGAUAACUCCGGGAAACCGGGGCUAAUACCGGAUAACAUUUUGAACCGCAUGGUUCGAAAUUGAAGGGCGGCUUCGGCUGUCACUUAUGGAUGGACCCGCGUCGCAUUAGCUAGUUGGUGAGGUAACGGCUCACCAAGGCAACGAUGCGUAGCCGACCUGAGAGGGUGAUCGGCCACACUGGGACUGAGACACGGCCCAGACUCCUACGGGAGGCAGCAGUAGGGAAUCUUCCGCAAUGGACGAAAGUCUGACGGAGCAACGCCGCGUGAGUGAUGAAGGCUUUCGGGUCGUAAAACUCUGUUGUUAGGGAAGAACAAGUGCUAGUUGAAUAAGCUGGCACCUUGACGGUACCUAACCAGAAAGCCACGGCUAACUACGUGCCAGCAGCCGCCGUAA
rnacentral:rRNA from 1 species